GGGCGGAACCCUGACGCAGCAACGCCGCGUGAGUGAUGAAGGCCUUCGGGUCGUAAAGCUCUGUCAGAGGGGAAGAAAUGCGGUGGGGUUAAUACCGUACUUGUUUGAGGGUCCCUCCAAAG
rnacentral:rRNA from 1 species